rnacentral:lncRNA from 1 species
CAGCAUGAUGGUGGGUGCAAAUGAAUGAGAGGGAGACUGCAGCAGGUGAGGAAGUUCUCAUUAAGGAGAACUUAAUGAGAUAAUAAAAGCCUCUGUGAAACCUAGAAGUCCCUAUGCCUUUCCUCUGGUGAAACUUUCCUGGCACGUUUGGUGAGCAGUCCUGGCAGCUGUGGCUUUUCUUCCUCUUUCAUGGUAAGGCCAGUACCAGAGGUUAUCUGCUGGGGUGCUCAAGGCCUUGCUCUAAUGCAUCCUGCAGUCCAG